rnacentral:rRNA from 1 species
GGUUGUUGCUGGCCCCCA